rnacentral:rRNA from 1 species
UACGGAGGAUCCAAGCGUUAUCCGGAUUUAUUGGGUUUAAAGGGUGCGUAGGCGGCCUAUUAAGUCAGGGGUGAAAGACGGUAGCUUAACUAUCGCAGUGCCCUUGAUACUGAUGGGCUUGAAUAUACUAGAGGUAGGCGGAAUGUGACAAGUAGCGGUGAAAUGCAUAGAUAUGUCACAGAACACCAAUUGCGAAGGCAGCUGGCUACACAAAUAUUGACGCUGAGGCACGAAAGCGUGGGGAGCAAACAGG